rnacentral:tRNA from 1 species
GCGAGAGUAAUUCAGUGGUAGAAUGCUUCCUUGCCAAGGAAGAUGUCGCGAGUUCGAGCCUCGUCUCUCGCUCCA